rfam:Naegleria gruberi genomic scaffold NAEGRscaffold_733, whole genome shotgun sequence.
GGCUACGGCCAUAUCACGAUGAGUGCACCUCAUCCCGUCCGAUUUGAGAAGUUAAGCAUCGUCGAGCCACAUCAGUACUGAGGUUGGAGACAACUUGGGAACCUGUGGUGCUGUAGUCU